rnacentral:rRNA from 1 species
AACAAACGCUGGCGGCGUGCCUAAUACAUGCAAGUCGAACGGGGAAAGCUUUCGGGUGAGUACUAGUGGCGCACGGGUGAGUAACGCGUGGAUAAUCUGCCUUAGAGUGGGGGAUACUAGUCGAAAGAUUAGCUAAUACCGCAUAAGACCACAAGAACUGCGGUUCAAGGGGUCAAAGGUUUUUCGCUCUAAGAUGAGUCCGCGUAAGAUUAGCUAGUUGGUAGGGUAACGGCCUACCAAGGCGACGAUCUUUAACUGGUCUGAGAGGAUGAUCAGUCACACUGGAACUGAGACACGGUCAAGAAUCAUACGGGAGGCAGCAGUAGGGAAGAUUGCACAAUGGAGGAAACUCUGAUGCAGCGACGCCGCGUGAGUGAUGAAGGCCUUCGGGUCGUAAAGCUCUGUCGCAGGGGAAUAACACAAUGAAGGUACCCUGUAAGAAAGGAUCGGCUAACUUCGUGCCAGCCGCCGCGGUAAUAC